rnacentral:rRNA from 1 species
CCUACGGGAGGCAGCAGUGGGGAAUAUUGGGCAAUGGGCGCAAGCCUGACCCAGCAACGCCGCGUGCGUGAAGAAGGCUUUCGGGUUGUAAACUUCUUUUGUCAGGGAAGAGUAGAAGACGGUACCUGACGAAUAAGCCACGGCUAACUACGUGACAGCAGCCGCGGUAAUACGUAGGUGGCAAGCGUUGUCCGGAUUUACGGGGUGUAAAGGGCGUGUAGCCGGGUUGACAAGUCAGAUGUGAAAGCCUGGGGCUUAACCGCAGAACUGCCUUUGAAACUGUUGGUCUGGAGUACUGGAGAGGCAGGCGGAAUUCCUAGUGUAGCGGUGAAAUGCGUAGAUAUUAGGAGGAACACCAGUGGCGAAGGCGGUCUGCUGGACAGCGACUGACGGUGAGGCGCGAAAGCGUGGGGAGCAAACAGGAUUAGAUACCCGGGUAGUC